rnacentral:rRNA from 1 species
UACGUAGGGGGCAAGCGUUGUCCGGAUUUAUUGGGCGUAAAGAGCGUGUAGGCGGCCAUACAGGUCAGCUGUGAAAACUCGAGGCUCAACCUCGAGACGUCGGUUGAAACCGUAUGGCUAGAGUCCGGAAGAGGAGAGUGGAAUUCCCGGUGUAGCGGUGAAAUGCGCAGAUAUCGGGAAGAACACCCGUGGCGAAGGCGGCUCUCUGGGACGGUACUGACGCUGAGGAGCGAAAGCAUGGGGAGCGAACAGG